rnacentral:rRNA from 1 species
GACGUAGGGCGCGAGCGUUGUCCGGAUUUAUUGGGCGUAAAGAGCUCGUAGGCGGCUUGUCGCGUCGACUGUGAAAUCCCGCGGCUCAACUGCGGGUCUGCAGUCGAUACGGGCAGGCUAGAGUUCGGUAGGGGAGACUGGAAUUCCUGGUGUAGCGGUGAAAUGCGCAGAUAUCAGGAGGAACACCGAUGGCGAAGGCAGGUCUCUGGGCCGACACUGACGCUGAAGCGCGAAAGCCAGGGGAGCGAACGGGG